rnacentral:tRNA from 1 species
ACCAGGAUGGCUAAGUUGUUAAGGAAUUGGGCUUAAAAUUCAAUGGAUGUAUGUCCGCAUGGGUUCAAACCCCUCUCCUGGUG